CCUACGGGGGGCUGCGGUGGGGAAUCUUGCGCAAUGGGCGAAAGCCUGACGCAGCGACGCCGCGUGAGCGAUGAAGGCCUUCGGGUUGUAAAGCUCUGUGGGGAGAGAAGAAUAAGGGUUGGCUAACAUCCAACCUGAUGACGGUAUCUCCUUAGCAAGCACCGGCUAACUCUGUGCCAGCAGCCGCGGUAAGACAGAGGGUGCAAACGUUGUUCGGAAGCACGGGGCGUCGGCCGCGUGUGGGCGGUGUGAAAUCCCACGGCUCAACCAUGGAAGUGCAUUCGAAACUGCCAGACUAGAGUCCUGGAGAGGAAGGCGGAAUACUCGGUGUAGAGGUGAAAUUCGUAGAUAUCGAGUGGAACACCGGUGGCGAAGGCGGCCUUCUGGACAGUGACUGACGCUGAAACGCGAAAGCGUGGGGAGCAAACAGGAUUAGAUACCCUUGUAGUC
rnacentral:rRNA from 1 species